CCCAUCAAAGACGAAGAACUCGUCUCCUACAUCCUUGCUGGGCUUGAUAUUGAGUUCAACCCGCUGGUUUCUGCUGUGACGGCUCGGGUGGAGCUGAUCUCGGUUGGAGAGCUAUUCUCACAACUCCUAAGCUUUGAGU
rfam:Setaria italica strain Yugu1 chromosome VI, whole genome shotgun sequence.